GAAGAGCGUAUCCGAUGGGAAACAGGUUAAUAUUCCUGUACUGCUCAUAACUGCGAUGGGGGGACGGAGAAGGCUAAACUAGCGCGGCGUUGGUUGUCCGCGUUUAAGGUAGUAGGUUGAGAGCUUAGGCAAAUCCGGGCUCUUAAGACCGAGAACUGAUGACGAGGUCCUUAAUGGACUGAAGUAGUUGAUGCCAUGCUUCCAGGAAAAUCUUCUAAGCUUCAGGUUACAACGAACCGUACCCCAAACCGACACAG
rnacentral:rRNA from 1 species